rnacentral:tRNA from 1 species
GGGGCUGUAGAUCAGUGUUAGAACACUUGCCUAGCAUGCACAAGGCUCUGGGUUCAAUUCCCAGUACUACCA